rnacentral:rRNA from 1 species
UCUCUACGCUGGCGGCAGCUAACCAUGCGUUAGAGCGGAUGACGUGGAGCUUCCUCCUUGUUAUCCAGCGGCGGACGGGUGAGUAAUGCCUACGGAAUCUAGCCUGGAUAGUGGGGGACAACGAUAUUCGAAAGUGAACGCCUAAUACCUGCCCACGUCUUACGGGAGAAAGCAGGGUGACCUCUCGGGCCUUGCGCUAUCCGAUGAGCCUAGUGUCUGGAUUAGCUAGUUUGGUGAGGUAAUGGCUCACCAAGGCUGACGAUCCUGUCACUGGUCUGAGAGGAUGAUCAGUCACACUGUGAACUGAGACAAGGUCCAGACUCCUACGGGAGGCAACAGUGGGGAAUAUUGCGACCAUGGUGUACACGCCUGAUCCAGCUCAUGACCGCGUGUUGUGAAAGACGGGUCUUCGGGAUUGGUAAACACACUAAUAAGAUUGUGGACGGCAGGGACAGAUACAGCUAAUAACUUU